GCCGAAGUGGCGGAACUGGUAGACGCGCUAGGUUCAGGGCCUAGUAAGGGUUCCCUUGUGGGGGUUCGAGUCCCCCCUUCGGCACCA
rnacentral:tRNA from 1 species